rnacentral:rRNA from 1 species
AGGGUUUGAUCCUGGCUCAGAUUGAACGCUGGCGGCAGGCCUAACACAUGCAAGUCGAACGGUAACAGAACUAGCUUGCUAGUUGCUGACGAGUGGCGGACGGGUGAGUAAUACUUAGGGAUCUGCCUCUGUGUGGGGGAUAACUAUUGGAAACGAUAGCUAAUACCGCAUAACGUCUACGGACCAAAGAGGGCUUCGGCUCUCGCGCAGAGAGGAACCUAAGCGAGAUUAGCUUGUUGGUGAGGUAAAGGCUCACCAAGGCGACGAUCUCUAGCUGUUCUGAGAGGAAGAUCAGCCACACUGGAACUGAGACACGGUCCAGACUCCUACGGGAGGCAGCAGUGGGGAAUAUUGCACAAUGGGGGCAACCCUGAUGCAGCCAUGCCGCGUGUGUGAAGGAGGCCUUCGGGUUGUAAAGCACUUUCAGUUGUGAGGAAAGGUUAGUAGUUAAUACCUGCUAGCUGUGACGUUAACAACAGAAGAAGCACCGGCUAACUCCGUGCCAGCAGCCGCGGUAAUACGGAGGGUGCGAGCGUUAAUCGGAAUUACUGGGCGUAAAGCGCACGCAGGCGGUCUGUUAAGCUAGAUGUGAAAGCCCCGCGCUCAACGUGGGAGGGUCAUUUAGAACUGGCAGACUAGAGUCUUGGAGAGGGGAGUGGAAUUCCAGGUGUAGCGGUGAAAUGCGUAGAGAUCUGGAGGAACAUCAAUGGCGAAGGCAACUCCCUGGCCAAAGACUGACGCUCAUGUGCGAAAGUGUGGGUAGCGAACAGGAUUAGAUACCCUGGUGGUCCACACCGUAAACGCUGUCUACUAGCUGUUUGUGGAUUUAAUCCGUGAGUAGCGAAGCUAACGCGAUAAGUAGACCGCCUGGGGAGUACGGCCGCAAGGUUAAAACUCAAAUGAAUUGACGGGGGCCCGCAC